rnacentral:rRNA from 1 species
AGUGAACGCUGGCGGUAGGCCUAACACAUGCAAGUCGAACGGCAGCACAGUAAGAGCUUGCUCUUACGGGUGGCGAGUGGCGGACGGGUGAGGAAUACAUCGGAAUCUACUUUUUCGUGGGGGAUAACGUAGGGAAACUUACGCUAAUACCGCAUACGACCUACGGGUGAAAGCAGGGGAUCUUCGGACCUUGCGCGUUUGAAUGAGCCGAUGUCGGAUUAGCUAGUUGGCGGGGUAAAGGCCCACCAAGGCGACGAUCCGUAGCUGGUCUGAGAGGAUGAUCAGACACACUGGAACUGAGACACGGUCCAGACUCCUACGGGAGGCAGCAGUGGGGAAUAUUGGACAAUGGGCGAAAGCAUGAUCCAGCCAUACCGCGUGGGUGAAGAAGGCCAUCGGGUUGUAAAGCACUUUUGUUGGGAAAGAAAAGCAGCAGGUUAAUACCCCGCUGUUCUGACGGUACCCAAAGAAUAAGCACCGGCUAACUUCGUG